AACGAACGCUGGCGGCAUGCCUAACACAUGCAAGUCGAACGAAGGCUUCGGCCUUAGUGGCGCACGGGUGCGUAACGCGUGGGAACCUGCCCCUCGGUUCGGGAAUAACAGUUAGAAAUGACUGCUAAUACCGGAUGAUGACUUCGGUCCAAAGAUUUAUCGCCGAGGGAUGGGCCCGCGUAGGAUUAGCUAGUUGGUGGGGUAAAGGCCUACCAAGGCGACGAUCCUUAGCUGGUCUGAGAGGAUGAUCAGCCACACUGGGACUGAGACACGGCCCAGACUCCUACGGGAGGCAGCAGUGGGGAAUAUUGGACAAUGGGCGAAAGCCUGAUCCAGCAAUGCCGCGUGAGUGAUGAAGGCCUUAGGGUUGUAAAGCUCUUUUACCUAGGGAGUAGAUAAUGACAGUACCUGGAGAAUAAGCUCGGCAACUCCGUG
rnacentral:rRNA from 1 species